rnacentral:rRNA from 1 species
UACGUAGGGUGCGAGCGUUAAUCGGAAUUACUGGGCGUAAAGCGUGCGCAGGCGGUUUGCUAAGACAGGUGUGAAAUCCCCGGGCUUAACCUGGGAACUGCAUUUGUGACUGCAUCGCUGGAGUGCGGCAGAGGGGGAUGGAAUUCCGCGUGUAGCAGUGAAAUGCGUAGAUAUGCGGAGGAACACCGAUGGCGAAGGCAAUCCCCUGGGCCUGCACUGACGCUCAUGCACGAAAGCGUGGGGAGCAAACAGG